UCGCCUACGGGAGGCAGCAGUGAGGAAUAUUGGUCAAUGGGCGCGAGCCUGAACCAGCCAAGUCGCGUGAGGGAAGACGGUCCUAUGGAUUGUAAACCUCUUUUGUCGGGGAGCAAAAGACGCCACGCGUGGCGUUCCGAGAGUACCCGAAGAAAAAGCAUCGGCUAACUCCGUGCCAGCAGCCGCGGUAAUACGGAGGAUGCGAGCGUUAUCCGGAUUUAUUGGGUUUAAAGGGUGCGUAGGCGGUAUUUUAAGUUAGUGGUAAAACGUCGGGGCUUCACCUUGAUUGGCCAUUAAAACUGGAG
rnacentral:rRNA from 1 species